rnacentral:rRNA from 1 species
UACGAAGGGUGCAAGCGUUAAUCGGAAUUACUGGGCGUAAAGGGCGCGUAGGCGGCGUGGUAAGUCACUUGUGAAAUCUCUGAGCUUAACUCAGAACGGCCAAGUGAUACUGGUGUGCUAGAGUGCAGAAGGGGCAAUCGGAAUUCUUGGUGUAGCGGUGAAAUGCGUAGAUAUCAAGAGGAACACCUGAGGUGAAGACGGGUUGCUGGGCUGACACUGACGCUGAGGCGCGAAAGCUAGGGGAGCAAACGGG